GCUGUCAUCCACUGUAGCCUAAAGGCACCAGAUCCAGUUUGAUUUCAGAAGUUAAGCAGGAUCACCUCUUGUUAGUACUUGAAUGGGAGACAACUAACAAAAAAGAGGGACUCUAGGC
rnacentral:rRNA from 11 species